rnacentral:rRNA from 1 species
AAUAGAUACCCGGGUAGUCCACGCCGUAAACGAUGGAUACUAGCUGUUCGGGAUUACCUGAGUGACUAAGCGAAAGUGAUAAGUAUCCCACCUGGGGAGUACGGGCGCAAGCCUGAAACUCAAAGGAAUUGACGGGGGCCCACACAAGCGGUGGAGCAUGUGGUUUAAUUCGAUGAUACGCGAGGAACCUUACCAGGGCUUAAAUGUAGGUUGCAUGAUCCAGAGAUGGGUCUUUCUUCGGACCACCUACAAGGUGCUGCAUGGUUGUCGUCAGCUCGUGCCGUGAGGUGUCAGGUUAAGUCCUAUAACGAGCGCAACCCCUAUUGUUAGUUGCCAGCGAGUCAUGUCGGGAACUCUAGCAAGACUGCCGGUGCAAACCGUGAGGAAGGUGGGGAUGACGUCAAAUCAUCACGGCCCUUACGUCCUGGGCUACACACGUGCUACAAUGGUGGGGACAGAGAGCAGCCACUGGGCGACCAGGAGCGAAUCUAUAAACCCCAUCACAGUUCGGAUCGGAGU